AACGAACGCUGGCGGCAUGCCUUACACAUGCAAGUCGAACGGCAGCACGGGAGCAAUCCUGGUGGCGAGUGGCGAACGGGUGAGUAAUAUAUCGGAACGUGCCCAGUCGUGGGGAUAACGUAGCGAAAGCUACGCUAAUACCGCAUACGAUCUAUGGAUGAAAGCGGGGGAUCGCAAGACCUCGCGCGAUUGGAGCGGCCGAUAUCAGAUUAGGUAGUUGGUGAGGUAAAGGCUCACCAAGCCGACGAUCUGUAGCUGGUCUGAGAGGACGACCAGCCACACUGGAACUGAGACACGGUCUAGACUCCUACGGGAGGCAGCAGUGGGAAUAUUGGACAAUGGGCGCAAGCCUGAUCCAGCAAUGCCGCGUGCAGGAUGAAGGCCUCGG
rnacentral:rRNA from 1 species